CGACAUGUUUGCUAUAUUUAACAUGUAUCAAAGCUCUUAUAAACAAGAUAGGGUAUUCCUACAUAGCUGGUGUGACCCACAGCAAAUUGAUCAUAAAGUCGUCAAAAAAGAAUAGAUACGAUUGCAUUGCAUGUAGUAACGGAUGCGAUCAUACAAGCACUAAUGGACCAGAUCCCAUCAAAACUCCGCAGUUAAGCAUGCUUGGACGAGAGUAGUACUAGGAUGGGUGACCUCCAGGAAAGUCCACGUGUUGCAUACCUCUUUUUUCGGUUUUUCUCUGU
rnacentral:rRNA from 1 species